GAAAUUUCAAUUCAAAUUUUAUUCAGUUUUAUUUGUGAUGCGCCAAAUCACAACAUGAAUUAUCUCAAGGCACAGAGUUUGAAGGAGGAAACACAAGACCCCCCACAUGGGGUGAGGGGAUUCUUUAGUUUUAAGUGUCUUGUCACUAUUUUUAGGAGGCGUAGACAACUUUGGCUUGCUCUUAAGGGUCAGAUGAUGGGACCAUGGAAUAGAUAAAAUAUAACGUGAUUUAAUAUAUAUAUAUAUACACAGUGCAAGGUGCACGGGGGGCGGGGGUUGCGUGUCCAGGGUCCCAGUGGUGAGUGCUGGGUGGUGGUGAGCUCUCCAGAGCGUGCCCAGUGAUUUGGAGUCAAAUUCAAAAACACAGUGCAGGCAGGCGAUAAGCAAGCAGGCAGGCGGAAUGGCUGAAGCAAGCAACGAGGGUAAACUACAACACAAGAGCACAAGGAAUAGUUAGCUACACAAAAUAGGGACACGGGAGAUAUCACAGUGAUAAGGGGAGCCAGGAUCACAACAAAGGGAUAAGGAGAAGAAAGAGGAUAAAGAAAUUGAAGAGGAAGUGUUAGAGUUGAGCACACUAGAAGUGCUACUAUGGUAAGAGGAAAAAACAGAAGUUACACUGACAGUACAGGGCAAGAAAAUUAAAUUUCUCUGUGAUUCAGGUGCAUCCAGAACUGUCGUCAACCCAGAAGAUGUACCUCAAGUGCAAAUUUCAACAACCACUAUUUGUGUAAAAUCAGCUAAUGGACGAGUUCAUAGAGAACCUUUGUCGGAGCCCAUAAAAAUAACAGAUCCAGAAACAGAAGACACCCCCAUCAUCAGGAGGAUGGUCCAAGAUUUACAAGCUGUAAAUAAGGCAGUAAUCCCACGUGCUCCCACUGUUCCAGAUCCAUAUACUCUCCUCAAUGACCUGAGUCCAAAAUGAACAACCGAGGAAAAGACUGAAACGACACUGGAAAAGGUGACUCCAGGAGAUUGGGUACUGAUCAAAGCCAUCAAGAAAAAGAACUGGUCAAGCCCAAGGUGGGAAGGUCCUUACCAGGUAUUGCUCACCACACCCACUGCAGUAAAAAUAGCUGAAAGGACAUCUUGGAUACAUCUGUCACAUUGUAAACUACUACAAGGGCUUAGAGAAACUCAAGGGACAGAUUAGUUACUCACCACCGCUCCCCAGAGGCAAAGUCUGAUUACAAAGGGGGAUUCUCUCAAUAAGAGGGAGUUCGUCUCAAACUCAGUGAAGCAAUCAACGGCUGAAAGGGAGCAUAGGGUGAGCCUAAAAUAGUAGAGGAAUAGUGAAAUAAAUGACAGAUAAAGAUAAUCAGAGACCCUUAAUGCAGAAUCCAGGUGUUCAAAGGCUAAUUACUUGGAGAAUAGACUAUAGAAGAAGAGAGCAGUAGUCCACGGUAUAGUCUUUCUAUUGAUUAUCAUUCUUUUACUGUUAGUCUUAUUUGUUUGUGAGACACCAUGGAUAGACCUAAACCAUGGCAUCCAUUUAGACACCCAGGUCUGUGUGGGAUGCGGGGGACAGUUUGCUGUAUGUUAAUAAUAACACUCCUAAUUGUCCUUCCCUUGUUUUGGCAUGAAAUGCAGACUGCAAAGAACCACACUAGAAAUAAAAAAUCGCUGACAUCCUCAUUUCAACCACUGACUCUCCAAUUCACUGAAGAAAAGGGAUAGCAGAACAACUGGGUCCUACUUCUCUCACAGCAUGGCAAAACAGGAUGGCACUAGAUAUGUUAUGGGCCGAAAAAGGAGGUGUAUGCAAAAUGUUUGGAAAUUUCUGUUGUACAUUUAUCCCAAAUAACACAUCUCCAGAUGGCAGCAUCACCAAAGCCCUGGCGGGGCUGACUUCUCUGUCUGAAGAGCUGGCAGAGGAUUCGGGCAUCAAGGAUCCAUUCAGUGACUUCCUAGGCUCCUGGUUUGGCAAAUGGAGCUCUCUAAUAACCUCUGUUCUGAUCUCGUUAGCUGUUGUUGCAGGUAUCCUUGUUACCUGUGGUUGCUGUUGCAUUCCUUGCAUACGAGGACUCUUGAAAAAACCGAUUGAGACAGCCUUGACCAAGACCAUGUAUCAACAAAUAAUAACCGAGGAUAUUGGAGAUCCUGAGAGACGUGUCUAAGUGCAUUAAGUUGAUUGUUAUGAUCUGUUUAAUGAAAAUCUAACAAAGUGUUAAGCAGUGAUGUUCUGUUUACUUAACAAGUGCCUAGAUGAACUUGUACAUACAUGUAUUGUGUGCUAUAUCUAAUGGUUUAUUUGUGUUAUUUUUAUUAGUAUAAACAGAAGGGAAAUGUCAGAAAAAUAUGUAUUAUAACUAGUUAAAAAGAACAUGCUGAUCGUAGAAAGAACAGUCUGUAUUGGUAUCUUGUAUACAGACGUAAUGUUGUGGUUACUGUUGUCCACUAUAGAGGCAGAAACACCUCAGGGCAUGCAUGACCUUGGAAUGUGACUCAGGAAACUCAGGACCUGCCAUUAACUUUGUCUGUAAAUAAGUAACACACAGAUAUACAUUGUAAAGGGGAACCGCCCAUCAUGCUUAAAUAUCCUUGUAUCUCCUGUAUUCGUCGGACAACCUCAGUACUCAGACACUGUGCUGC